rnacentral:piRNA from 1 species
UCAAGUUCUGAUCCAGCUAUGUC